UAUACAUUUUCAUUUAUUAUGUCUUUUAAAAAAUGAUCCUUUUCAAUGUUUUGUAUGUUUUUGGACGCCUCCAAGCGAGAGUGUGGCGGAAAUGGAAUAAAUCGCCCUGGCUGCCUACAAAGAUCAGUGUCUAUCAAGAACUUCGAAGAAGUGGUUCUCCCAACUCUUCUAUAAAGAUCGGAGAAAUGGGUACUAUACAGAAAGCAGAUACUUCUUGAACGCUUUUCCCAAUGACUUCUGCGCUCCUCCAGGAACAUACGCUGGCAAGAGCAGUAUUGUUCUUGUGAAUGCGGUAUGGACAUGAUAGAGGUAUUGCUUAUAAUAGUUUGACAGCGACGCUGGGCAGGGCACGUAUAUCGUACGGGGGACGACCGUAUGCCAAAGGCAAUCUUUUGGUAAGACGAAAGAUGGUUGGAGUCUUUGGAGCAAUUAUACAGCCAUGCUUCACCCCAUUCUUUACAGAGAAAUAAGCUGAUAUGUCACCAUUGUAUCUGAUUUGAUUCUUUUGAGACGCAUGCUGUUGGUUCAAAAUAGUAACUUGGAAGGCAUCGCGUACUCACUGUGCCAGAUGUUUUGUUAGUAGAUUCUAUAUUUAUAGUAAAUUUACAAUAAAGGUCAUUCAUGCAAGAGAUACCAAACAUUGUAUUGGCCGGGUUUCUUAACGUGUUAGUUUGAUUUUUACAUGAAUUGUUUCAGACACGGAAAAAAAAGUUUGACCUAUUUUUAGUGAAAGCAGACGUGUUAUUGCAGUUCAUGCGCGCACAUAUUUCUUUUCGAUCAUUUACUUUUUGUAUAGAAAUAUGCUUCAGUGAAGUUCAGAUAUUGGAAUAAUUAGAUUCUUCAACAGAUUGGAUUAUUAUAAUCAUACGGGUAUUACAGGCAAAGUUUGGAUUAUUUAUUACGCAAAGGCCUAUAUAAAGCAAUAUAUAUAUUGUUGUCAACCUGGUGGUGACAUAGAUGGAGGUAGUGCUGUGUAUUUUUAGCCUACCCAAAUCGCCACUGUCCAGCGCAGGAAGAGCGGUCAACUGUGACCAGUGACAGUACUCGCCAGUUCGUCAACGACCUGUGUGUAAAUAUUACGCACGCAAGUCACGGCGAAAGUGAUCAACUGGAGUGGUCAAGAAGGUCCGAGUAGGCCAGUAGAGACACUAUAUAAGAGCGACUGUGUUAGUAAGACUUGACUUCACGUUACCUCGCAAUGUGACCAGUACGAGGCGAGAACCAGCAUAGUGUGUAAAGUCAGGCGUAACAAGACUAGGUUUUUGUAAAGACAGUGUUAAUGUUGUUGCCAAUUGCGAUGUAUUUGACAUUAAACUGACUGAUACUUUGGA